ensembl:lncRNA
CAGCUUAACAGCAGUAACGCCAUUUUGCAAGGCUGUACUUAAGAUGACUGGUUCAGGGAAAGGUUAGAACACUGAGUACACAGCGGCUGCCAAGCAAGAUAUGUUUGGUUGAAGGCCUGGCAACAGGACGACUUCGGUUGAGCACCUGACAAUGAAAAAAAGCCCCAGGAGAGGUCCCACACCCUGGUGGGGGGCCGAGUCAGUCGUUAUGUUUCAAGAAGGUAGCUAAGAAACUUGCCCCCGGGCUGAACCCUUGGGGGGCCGAGUCAGCCGUUAUGUUUCAGGAAGGUAGCUAGGAAACUUGCCCCCGGGCUAAACCCUUGCCAUAUUAGAAUCCACCAAUUAUAUCCCUGUAACCAUGCAUCUGCUUCUGUAUGCUUGCUUCUGCUCCCCAAAAUCCUAUAAAAGCCCAUCCUUGGUUCUGUGGGGCGCGCCAGUCCCCCGAGUGACUAAAGCGCCCGCAGGUGCCUGUGCCUGUGUAUCCCGACAAUAAACCAAAUCCUCUUGCUGAUUGCAUCCUGUGGUGUCUCGGUCUGGUCUUUUAAGUUGGAGGGUCUCCAUCCCGAGGGAAAGUUCUCCCUGAGAGCUUUUCAUUUGGUGCAUUGGCCGGGAAAGGAGAUCCUCCACCCAGGGACCACCGACCACCCACUGGGAGGUAAGCCGGCCGGCGUCUGUCUGUCUGUCUGAUUUUGUCUCGUUCUGCCUUAUUCUGUCUGUUCUGUGAGCGCUCAGCCAGGUCUGUUCUGUGAGCGCUCAGCCAGGUUCUGUGAGCGCUCAGCCAGGUCUGUUCUGUGAGCGCUCAGCCAGGUUGUUUGGAAUUUGGGCGGGACGAAGAAGGAGCUGACGAGCUCGGACUUCUCGCCCCGCAGCCCUGGAAGACGUUCCAAGGGUGUUAGGGGCCCGACUUUUCGGGGCCCAAUCUGGGAGAGGAGAAAGAUCCGGACUAACGGCACUCUGUCUGUAUUUUUGGCUUUCAGAGGGCCCUGGACCUUUGCCACCUCCAUCUGACUUUUUGCUUUCAGUUUGGUACCAAAGCCGUGCAGCACGCCUGUCUGUUGUUUGUUUGACUGUUGGUGUUGUUUGUUUUCUCUGUGUUCUAAUCUUCCUUAGAACUAACAUGGGACAGUCCCUAACAACGCCCCUAAGUCUCACUCUUGAUCAUUAGAAAGACGUCCACGACCGGGCACACAACCAGUCCGUCGAGGUUAAAAAAAAAAAAAAAGGAAAAUGGCAGACUCUCUGCACAUCCGAGUGGCCCACUUUCGGAGCGGGAUGGCCAGUGAAUGACACAUUUAAUAAGAUCAUUAUUUUACAGGUUAAAGAUUGGGUCGUCCACGGACAUCCUGACCAGGUUUCUUAUAUUAUCACUUGAGAGAGUCUCGCCUUAACCCCCCCCCCCCGGGCAGAACCCUUCCUGGACCCGAAUUGGCCUCCCCUCAACCCCCAGCCUGUCCCCUCGGCCCCGCCCGGUCCGCCGGCCACGUCUUCCUCUCUCUACCUUUGUGAAAUCAGAGCCUUCUAAGAAACCUGUCCUCCCGGCAGACCCAAACUCCCCUCUCAUAGAUCUUCUCUCUGACAGGCCCGGCUGAAACGGAGGAGGCAGAGCCGCCGGCCAGAUCAGUUGCCGGGCCACAGUCUGAUAAGGGUUUCUCCCCUGUCGCAGGGAGAUUG